rnacentral:rRNA from 1 species
AUGGUGACGCCCAACAUAGAUUCAAUUUCAGACUCAAAAUUGUACGAGCUGAAAGAGCAGCUUCUGCUGCUGACCACACUGGUGGCAACGGUGACGUACGUCACCGGGCUCAACCUGCCCGGGGGAGCCUGGCAGACGCAGCAGGCGGAUGGGCAUGCCCCCCUCGCCGGCGACCCGAUCCUCCGGGACAUCCACUACCGUCGGUACCUCGCCUUUUACUACUGCAACGGCACGGCGCUUGCCUCGUCGGUCGUGGUCUGCCUCAUACUCGUCAUGCUGCGCAGGGACAGCCCGGCCUGGUCGGUGGUGCUGCGGGUGGUCAUGGUGCUCGACCUUCUUGGCCUCAUGGGUUCCUACGCAGCCGGGACCUGCCAUGACACCUUCGCCACCAUCUGGGUCGUGGCGCUCGCUUUCCCUGUGUUGGCCUACAUCACGUACGCUUUCGUAUGCUACCUCUGCUUGCCCCUCCGCCGCGAAGCUCCCACCCCUAGAUACCCAAACGGGUACCAAGAGAAGGAGAAGAUCGAGGUGCUCAUGCUGCUGGCGACCUUUGCCGUCACCAUCUCCUACGCCGCCGGGCUGAAUCCACCUGGCGGCUUCUGGAGCAGCACCCUGCAGCAGAAGGAGGACGCCCGCCUUCUUCACCUCGCCGGCGAUCCGAUCAUGGAAGAUAGCUCGCUCCGGAGGUACCGGGCCUUCUUCGUCUGCAACACGACGUCGUUCAUCGCGUCCUUGCUCAUCAUCCUGCUGCUCCUGGACAAGAAGUUGAGCAGGACCAUCUCGGCGCGGUUCGUGGCGCUCUACGGCUUCAUCGCCGUGGCGCUCCUGGGCCUCAUGGGGGCCUAUGCUGCUGGGAGCUGCAGGGAGACUGACAAUACCAUCAAGGUCCUCUCCCUGGCCGCUGCCGUUCCUGCCUGCGUAGUCCUGCAGCUGGCUCUCAACUAUGUCUUCUACUGGCCAAUCAAGAACAUGUGUGAUAAUUUCUCCGGAUGGUUGGGGAACUUGAUUCCCGGAGGUGCCAGCGCUCUCGCGGAUCCAGACUUGAAAAAUACUCGAUUUUUCGUUAUGGUACUUGCUAGCUUCGCGGUGAGCAUCACCUACCAAGCAGGACUGGAUCCACCAGGCGGCCUCUGGCAAGAUGAUCUAGAUGGGCAUAAGAUUGGCCACCCGGUGCUCCGGACGACAGAUCCUGCUCGGUACCAGGUGUUCUUCUACAGCAACUCGGCAGCUUUCGUGACAUCUCUGGUGGUCGUAAUGAUGGUCCAGAGCAAGUUUCUGUUGAAACGCCGCACAUUGGUGGCAGCCAUGGUGCUAGACCUGAUUGGCCUCGUCAUUGCCUAUGCCGCCGGGAGCACCAGGGAUACAAGCACGUCCAUCUAUGUCGUCGCGGUGGCUUGCCUUGUCCUCUCCUACGUCGUCGUCCAUAUUGCUUUAGGAGGCGAGAAGGAGAACAUCGUUGCUGAACCAGCUCCUGCUCCUGCUUCUUCUACUUCUGUUGCUACUUUUUCUACUCCUCCUGCUAGUCCUGUCUCUACCACUUCUUCAGUAGUAGUACUAGGAGGAGGAGGGCGACGAAGCAAGGAGCAGCUCGACGUCAAGCGUCAGGUGUUGUUGCUAAUCGCCAUCUUGGCGGCGGCACUGACCUACCAAGCCGGGCUGACCCCACCGGGUGGCUUCUGGCAAGAGGACAACGACGAGCUUGGCCACCGCGCGGGCUACCCGAUCCUCCUCAAUAACUACCCCCGCCGCUACAAGGCCUUCUUCUACUGCAACGCGGCGAGCUUCAUGGCGUCGGUGGCUCUCAUCCUCCUCCUCGUGAACCGCAAGCUGUACAGGCCAGGGAUACGGUGCUACGCGCUACAUAUGUGCAUGGCAGUGGGCAUGUUUGCGCUCAUGGGUGCCUACGCUGCCGGGAGCUCACGCCAUCUCAAGACCUCCAUCUAUGUGUUGACACUGGUGAUCUUGGUGUCGGCCUCCAUACCCCUGCAGAUAGCUAUCUUCUGGUACAUUCGCAUCUACAUGAAAAACAACGACAACCAUCAUGAUUCAUCUAGAACAAGGCGACAACGAGCACGCGGUCUUGAAGCCCCUAAUCAGGAGAAAAACGAGGAGUUCGAGUACCUCAUGCUGUUAGGAGUCCUGGCCGCUAGUGUGACAUACCAGACCGGGCUGAGACCACCGGGCGGCAUGUGGCAGGAGGACAACGCCGCCUACUCCGCCGGCAACCCGAUCCUACACGACAUCAACAAGCGUCGGUACGACAUCUUCCUGUACAGCAACUCUACUUCAUUCAUGGCGUCCGUCAUCGCAAUCGUCAUGCUGCUGCCAUUCACGCUGACGGAGCUCGAGUGGCUACAACGUUUCCUGCCGUCCCAGCAGACGAGCAACCGCAAGUGGCCGCUCUGGCCGGUCCACACGGCCAUUUUGCUGGACAUGCUCGGCCUCCUGGUGGCCUACGCGGCAGGAAGUACCAGGAAGUGGAAGUCGUCCAGGAACGUCAUAUUCAUCCUCCUCCCCGUGCUAGCCUACAUUGCACUCUACGCAGCAAUAGUGGCCAUAUACAUAUACAAAAAGCGCACAUCCUCCCAGUUGCCGACCACGCAGGCAAGCCAACAAACAAACUAA